CAAAGAACAGAUUAUCUAAAGUAUCAUUCAACUGCACAAUAACCCAAUCACAAACAAUAUACUAAAAGGGAGAGCAUUCCAAUUUCGUUAAACAAACCAGUGCCAAGUGAUUAUGGUUUUAGUUAGGUAAUCUUACAAUAGCAAGUCAAUUCAACUAAGAAUGGUUAGCAUAAUAGCAUUUAGUAUUGGAUAAUAUUACACAAGCCAAAUGAAAUAUUCGAAACUUAGUUACUUAACAAACAAAAAGCAGUAGAUAAACCGCUUUGGACUAAAUAUAGACUAGUUAGUUUAGAUCUCGUUAUAAUCCCACCUCUAAAGCUAUAGACGUCUUUGCCUGGAAUCGUGUCAACAACACAACCCUAUCUUUAGAAGGGGAGAAUAACAAAACAAAUCAUCUUUUAAAAAUUAUAUAUCACCCCCUCAUAUUACACAGUUUCUAAAUCUCACCCUUAUAAAGAAUGUUAAGAAUAAAACUAC
rnacentral:lncRNA from 1 species